CGAUUUUUGGAUAAUCUAUUCUAGCUCGAAUUCAUGGAUUAAAUGGUAGAUUUCAUAUCUGAAUUUGGAGCAUGUGGUAAUAAAUUGAAUAGGUUAUACAUGUUGGACUUGGAAAUUGAAUUAGGAGAAAACCUGCGAUUUGGACCUGUCACUCGAUUAAACUGCCUGAUUUAACUCUAGGAGCCGAUAUUAAAUUGUACUGUCGCAGUAUCUUCGAGACGAGUACUUCAGGUAGUUUAGAAUAUAUUUGCUCAUGCUGGUGUGCCGAGUAGAUUUUUACAGGAUCGUUCAGGUUGUUCCGGACUGUUGGAUGCCGUCAGAGUUGAUGGUGGACCCGUAUCGCCUUUUUGGCGUCAGAUUGUGCUGAGGGCACGUUACCUGUUGGUUAUUAGACCAGUUUGAGUUGGUAACCUUACUUGCUGCCGGGGAUUAGCGACCGAGGUGGGUUACAUCGGUUUAUUCAGUCGACAUGUAUGAUUUCCUGUUUUUGUAAAUCAUGUGGUAGCUUAAUUUCGUCGAUUGUAUAAUGAAUGAAAUUAGCUUGAGGACAUGAUUAGUAAACCCUAAAUAUACAUGUUGGACUUGGAUAAGACUUAGGAGAAAACUCGCGAUUAUGAUCGUCAUAUAUUUAAACUACCUGAUUUAGCCCUAGGGGCCGUGGUAUUAUUUUAUACUGUAGCAGUAUCCUCAUAGUGAGUAUUCCAGGUAGUUUAGCUUUCAGUUACGCUCGUGCCGGGAUGCCGAGUAUAUUUUUACAGUAGCGUUCAGGCUGUUUCGGACUGUUGGGUGCCGUCAGAAUUGACAGUGGACCCGGAUCGCCUUUUUGGCGACAGAUUGUGCCGAGGGCACGUGAACUGUUAGUUAUUAGACUUGUUAGAGUCGGUUACUUGACUUUGGCUUUUCAGAG
rnacentral:lncRNA from 1 species